AUUGACUAAAGUAGUUAGUUGUUAUCUUUCUAGUCAAUAAAACUUUAUGAUUAUAUAUUUCUAUAAAUCACAAGUUAGCAUUGAUACCAUAAUUAGUUUUAUUAAUUAAUGGUGAAGUAUUUGUCAUGCUUUCCAUCUGCUCGAUAGUACUAUUUUUCUUGUGAAUGUUCUUUCUUGCUGUUAGUUAGAUUUUUCUACUCUUUGCUGCCUUUAUUUUGCCCAAGUCAAUGGUGAUAGUCUCUUUUCUCCUAUAGAUACAGAGAAGGACUUCUCUCUUUGCAAAUAUAGUUGUCUGUGUGAUUCCCUAUUUAGCAGUGUCCCCAUCUCUUUCUUGGAACCAUACCACAACCAGGAGAGCUCUGGCUGACAGCCCACGAACCUUGUUUCCACUGGUAUAAAGAAAGGGUUUAUACCUUAGGGUGUGCCCAUCACGUUUCAAGAGCUGUGCUUUAUUCUUCAACAUCAGCAACAACAUCCUCUCUCUGCUGCCUAGGACAUGCACUCCUACUCUGUUGCUUUUGGCAGCCUUUCUGCUCAUGUUGUGGUUUGUCUCCUAAUAUUUCGAAAAAUGGGGUUUGUGUUUCUCAUCUCUGUGUUGCUUUUACAUGAAUUUUCAGGAUGGAGAGAAAUACUAGUUUUAUCCUGGUAUGGUCAAAUAAGAAAUGUAAUACUAGCUGAACUUGUAAAAAAGUUUGUCUGUAGUUAUGUGACAGACACAACAUUUUAUGUGAAACAUUUUAUGUACAAGUGCAUCUGCGUUACACAUUUAUUGCAUUGUUGUUAUUUGGAAUCAGGAGUUAAAAUAUGCUCACUUUCCUUUACCAAUAACUAGUCGGAUCAAGCCAACUUUUGUGAACAGUGAGUGUUCCAUGAUUGUUUGUUAUGUAAGAAGCUGUAUGAACUUUAAACCCAGUUCAUUAAUAAUACAGUACCAGAAAACUAUAAAUAUUUAUAAUAGCCUUUUGCAUUUAAAAAUUCUUUAUAGCUUUAAAUGCUUUUUUCACAUAUGAUCUCACUUUGGUUGUAACAGUGUCUCCAUUUUAAAUGAGGACACUGAAGCACAAGACAAGUGACUUGCUCAAAGGCUCAAAGUCGUAAAGAAAGUCAGGAGCCAUGUUAACAAUAGAAAUCAGGUACCCCAAAUCUCAGCUCUGAGUUGUAGGUUUGGAAUAACCAAUGAUUUGAAGUUGCCAUACUGAUUAGGAGUCAGCCAACAGCUCUAAUCGUGUCAAUAGAUAAGUAGAUCCAUACUAUAUGUGAUGAUGAGAGAGUUUGAAUCUGGAAUUGUAACAGAUUUAGGGUAGCUGCAUAUAAAAUUUUUAUUGUGGAUAAUAUAAAUAAUAAAGAUUUCUGGUCUGAAAUGUAAAUUUAGUAUACUGAAAAGCAAAUACUGAGAUUAAGGGUAGUGGUGCUUUAUUUUAUAGUUUGCCUUUUAAAAUCUAAUAAUAACGUUUAUCUGGUAAUGAUUAUUUAUAUCUUUUCAGUUUCUUAGUAUCAUUGUUUUUGUAAAGAAUGAAACCUGUAUCUGAAAUCUGAUGGCUACUAUAUUUUUACCCAUGAAAGAUCAAAUGAUAUUUAUUAAAAUUUUUAAGGAGUCAGUUAAUUUCAUAACUGGGAUGCCUUACAGCAUUCUUAGGAAUCUGAAGAUAAACAGCUAGCUGAGAAACCAUAAUUAGUAGAGGCUCGAAAAGUAAGACUUUCUGAUAAGACCUAAGUUUUUUGUAUCUGCUUCCCAAUUAAUUAUGCAAGAUCUACAUUAAUUAGCAAAGUACUUGGUAUUUUAUUUGAUCACUUAUCUUAAUAUACUCCAGUUUCUAUAUUACAAUAACAGUAAAACCUAGUGAGAGGAUUGUGUAUCAUGAAACAGCAGUAAAACUUUCAAAGAAAAGCCUAUUCUUGCCAUUCUCAAAUCUAAACAAUUUAACUGGUGUAAAAUAUGUUAAUUUGAUGUACUGAAAUAAUUGUUUUUUCUUUCAUUAAUUAAGGAUUCAUACAAUACUUGUGUACUUUCACCUCUAUAGAUAGAGUGAAAGAAGUAACUACUAUUCUUUAGUGUAUUGGUUCUUAGGGGAAAUCUUUGGGAAGAUUUUGUUAGUCUUUUCCUGAGAAACACUUCAGGAAUUCACAUCUCCCUCAUGAUAUUCUGAAAUAAUGUUUAUGAAAGACAAUAUCUUUAUCUUCUGAAAAAGAUAAUAUGAUUUCUCGAUGCCUAGAUAGUUAUUUAAAAAUUGUGCUAUUUUAUUUUUAUUAUGUUAUUAGGAGUCUAAUUUUAUAUUAUUCUGCAAAUAAUAGUAAUGAAGAGCAAUACAGAGAAGGUACAGGUCAUUAUUCUGGUAGACUGAAUGAGUGAAAGAAGCAAGUGUAAUUCAGUGUGCAAGUAUUAAGAUCUCGAGAGGGGGCAUUGAGCACUGCAAGAAUGAUAUAAUACAUAAUGACAGGUCCUUGAGAUUACCCCAUCAUCCUCUUCAAAGUGAUGGAGCUCUACCUUAGCUUUUAAGAGCCUGGUGAGAAGGCAGAGUUCCUGUAGCAAGGAGAGCCACUAUGUUUCCCUGUUAUCAUAUGCUAUUUUUUUUCCUUAUAGCACUGGUAGCCCAAAGCUCAUACUGCAUUUCUGAUUUGGUCCUUAUCCUGACACAUAUAUGUCAGUAGAUCUUAUGAAACAUCUCACAACACUUCCUUUCUGUUCUAGUACAUCCUGAGGUUCUCUCUGGAAUAGUGCUCUGGACCUGGAAGGUUCCUUUAUCUAAAAUAUUCAAAAUCCUCUGACUUACACCCGUCUCAGAUUACUUUGAACCACAUCACAAUUGGUAAAAGUCUCCCCAAUUAAAAUUAAAUUACCUCUGUGAUUGAUUUUGGCAACCUUUUAGAAGGGUUUUGUGAAAUUUUAUUAAUUAAAAUUAAACUGUGAAUGCAGUUUAGAGU